AGCGAACGCUGGCGGCAGGCCUAACACAUGCAAGUCGAACGGACCCUUCGGGGUUAGUGGCGGACGGGUGAGUAACACGUGGGAACGUGCCUUUAGGUUCGGAAUAGCUCCUGGAAACGGGUGGUAAUGCCGAAUGUGCCCUUCGGGGGAAAGAUUUAUCGCCUUUAGAGCGGCCCGCGUCUGAUUAGCUAGUUGGUGAGGUAACGGCUCACCAAGGCGACGAUCAGUAGCUGGUCUGAGAGGAUGACCAGCCACACUGGGACUGAGACACGGCCCAGACUCCUACGGGAGGCAGCAGUGGGGAAUCUUGCGCAAUGGGCGAAAGCCUGACGCAGCCAUGCCGCGUGAAUGACGAAGGUCUUAGGAUUGUAAAAUUCUUUCACCGGGGACGAUAAUGACGGUACCCGGAGAAGAAGCCCCGGCUAACUUCGUG
rnacentral:rRNA from 1 species